UGAAAGUGAACAGAGGGUGUAAAUUAUCAGUGAUUCCACAUGUCAAAAGUAACAUGUUAAUACUAGGUAUAUUAUGAAUUUAUAUAUGUACAGACAUUUGUCAAAUACUUUGCAAAUAUGUCAGAACUUAAGCUAAAAUCUGGAUGAUAAAAGGAAGUAAGUUCAAUUUCCAAAGGCACACACUGCUUUCAUUAUGGCUUUCUCCAAGUUUUCUAAAAUCUGUAUGUAUUAGAAAAUAAUAUGUAAGGUGCUUUUUUCCUAAUUAUCAAAUGCAUGUGCAUUAAGAAAAACAUUCCAUUUUAAAACCAGAUAAAAAUCCAUAUUUAAUUUUUUUCCCACUUGCCAAGAGUAGUAUUUCUGUAGAUUACCUGCAAAGCAAACAUAUUUAAUCAUGUUCAAAUUUUUCUGGUUUGUAAUUAAAAUUAUCUUGUUCUGAUUAUAAAGACAAAAUAUACUCCUACAGAAAAUUUCAUUCAAAACUACAGAAGCAUACUAUCAGAAGUAAAACCAACGUUCUAUCCGCAGCUCAACGAUUGAAAGACCUUAGGGUAAGUUAACCUCUCUAAGCUUCAUUUUCUCAUUUGUCUAUGGGAUUGGUGGUGGGCAUUAAUAAUUGUUAUCUAUAUCAGAAUCGGAAGGAGAUAAUAUUAUAAAGUGAUUAGCAUAAAACAUACACAGAGAAGCAUUUAGUAAGAUAUUUGUUACUGUCAUUGUAUUGCAUAAUUUUUUACUUUAGUUUUGUCUUAAUGAUUUUCACAAGUUCUUUUAUUUGAAAGUGUUAAAUGUCUAUACAGUAUUUCACCCAUGAAUGUGCCUUCAUAUUUUUUUUCCAUUUCCCUAUGGUUAUAUAUUUAAAUAUCUACCCCCAAUUUUUUAUCAUAAAUUAAGCAAAUUUAAUAUUCUUUAAAAAAAUUUUAUCUCUUAUUACCCUGUGAUAAGUUCUAAGUAAAAUCUGAGUCAAAUAGUGUAGGCUUUUUUAGGCUUUUGAAAAAUAUUUCCAGGAUUGUGUGACUAUGCGUUUCCACCAGAAUGUGUUUAGUGACUAUUUCAAAGGCAAUCUUGGCAGUUCCAGUUAUCUUACUGUUUGGAUUUAUAUUUCUUUAAUUAUUGGAAACACUGAAUUUUUUGCUUAUUGAGCAUGUGCAUUUUUUCAUAUGUGAAUCAUUUGUUCCUGUCUAUUAUUUUAAGUAUCCUAUUAGCUACAAAGACUUUUUUCCUCAAUUUAUGUCAUUUUUGUGGGGGCUGGGCUAUUCAAUUUUUAAAAAUUCAGAUAUAAUAUUUGUUUCAGGCAUACAACAUAAUGAUUCUAUAUAUGUAUAUAUUAUGAAAUGAUAAGUCUAAUUAACUUCCAUUACCACACAUAGUUAAUACAAUUUUUUUCUUGUGAUGAGAACGUUUAAGAUCUACUCUCUUAGCAACUUUCAAAUAUACAAUACAGUAUUAUUGAUAGUCACCAUGCUGAACAUUAUAUCCCCAGGACUUACUUGUACCUUUUGACCACCUUGACACAUUCAGUUUAAUAGUCAAAUAUGUCUGUCUUUUAUUGCAUUUUGACUUUUUGGUGAUAAUUUUUUUUACAUAGUACCGAUGUCACAUUCCUUGUCCUUCCUUUACUCUAUUGCUUUGUCAGUGCUUAUUCUUAACGUGCUAAGGUAGCAUUUACUGCUUGUCUCUUGUUCAGAUAGCUUUUCUUUUUUCUGGUUGAAAUGAAGAUGAAUUUUUAAAAUAAAUUUAUGAAAAUUCCUUUUAUAUUAAGACUAUUAAUCUAUCUUUACAGCAAGUAUUUUCCCAUCUUUCUUUGAGUGCAUGUCUUAACAUACAAGGUAUUUUUUUUUUUGCGGUACGUGGGCCUCUCACUGCUGUGGCCUCUCCCGUUGUGGAGCACAGGCUCAGCGGCCAUGGCUCAUGGGCCUAGCCACUCUGCGGCACGUGGGAUCUUCCCAGACCGGGGCACGAACCCGUGUCCCCUGCAUCGGCAGGUGGACUCCCAACCACUGCACCACCAGGGAAGCCCCCAAGUUCCUUUAGGUGUAAAGAAAGAUUGAGACUUUCCUAGUUUCCUGAGGUUCUUUGAUCAUCUGUACCAUCAUUACCCUGAAUUCUUCUCCUCAGUUGUAGAAGAUCUCUUCUGGUUGGUUCUGGUCUUUUUCAUUGAUGGUUGUUCUGCAAGUACUUGUGAUUUUGGUGUGCUCAUGAGAGGAGGUAAGCUCAGGGUCUUUCUACUCCACCAUCUUGACCAAAGAGAGUAUCUUUGAUACAACACAAAAACACAGAUUUAAAUAUCUUUGACCUUUAUCUUAUUGAUAAAUUCAUAUAAUUUGAGUUUUAUAAAAAAUCUGCACCAUUUCAUCUGGAUUCUAAGCAUUCACACCCACUACUAUGUGGUUUUUUUAAUGGAUUGUAAACUAAAGAGCUUCAGCUUACAAAGUAUCACACUAACAGAGUAAAUCUUUUCAGUGGCAGAAAGAAUUUAAUGUGCAAAUAUCCAGGUAUAAGUAAACUUGAUUAACUUAUAAUAUUCUAAGAGAUUUUAUAUAUUGGUUUGCCCAUGCAGAUGCUAGGAUCAGAUCACUGCUCUACCCACAAAGCUUUCAUCCACCCCAGACAACAACACAUACAUAGCACACAUGUGUGAUACAGAGCGGCUUCUGGACCAGCUGAUCCAAAUUCUUUUUAGUACCAUCCCUGGGUUCCAAGAAAGCCUAUUUCUUGGCUAGGGAACUACCCAUUUCCUCUAUCUCCAAAACACUGUCUCAGAGCAGAAUAUUCUCAUACUGAGUAUUCUUUCUCCCAGGAUGGAUAUGAUUGAAAACAGGUGACCUCUUAAUUGUGCCUCCUGAAGCCUGUCAAAAUGCACUUAUGCCAAUAGUUCUUUUCUAUAACCUUCCUUGUUCCUUCUGUUCUAUUUAAUACAGUAUUAGAACAAGAUGAAUAUAAAGCUGCUGAUGGCAGUUAAGGUCUGUUACCUGAGCUCAGAUGUUUCAUUGUGUAUACAGCCCUUUCCCAAUUUUAAGUUCAUGCAGUAUUCCAGCUCUUUAUUGGCCCAUCUUCCAGAAGGCUGUGACUAUAGAGGUAGAGGUUUAUCAUUCUUUGCCUCAUUUCACCUAAGAGCCCAUCAGCAGAGUCUAUAUUUGUGAAUGGAGGGCAAGUCUAAUUUCUACUGACUGAACUUUUAUCUUAGUUCGGAAGGAUACUUUAUCAUUUAGAAGCCAACACAUUCCAGCCAGGAAUUAGUGAUCCAUAAAAACAACUCAUUUCUUCGUACUAGGCAGAGUGUUUGGUUAUUAAUCCCUCCAUCCUUCUCCAGAUAACACAGAUUUCACAAACCUUCUAUGCAUCCUAUGUAUACAGGCACACUCAAAGGCAUCACUUAAGCUCAGAGAAUGGGGAAAGAGGGUUUUCUAACUUUCCAGUCUGACUGACUCUCCAUUAAUGAGCUAACCUGUGCCCUCAACUUUUCCUACUUCAUCCUAUAAGGGGAGUGGGUUAUGGAUUCCGCUUACAUUGUCCACUUAGUUUACUUCUCCAUCUUCCAUAUCUGCAUUUCUCAUUCACCCCUACCACUUACCUCAUAGUACACUUACCAGCCAUGUGCAACACGUUCCUGGCUAUCAUUUGGGAGGAAUACUGCUGUGUGUAGACCAAGCUCAAGGAGAUGCCUCUAGUUAGCCCCCAAACUCAGUGUCCGGAAAUGGGUUUUUACAUAUCCUGCUGGGUGCUUGCAGCUGGUCAGAGCUCCCAGUGGACAACCUGCUGAUGUGGAGUACCUACUGGGGCACAGUAGAGAAGCCCCAUCAAGAUCUAGGUAGCGAUCAGGAUUAUAACUUUGAGAAUGACCUAAGUCUGCUGAAGCAUUGGUUGUGUGCAGAGGCAGGAGCCGCAAGGGGACUUCGUUCAGGACAGUGGUAGAACUGGGGUCAUCUCGUUACUGCUACUAACCAGUCUCGAACUACAAUCAAGUCACUAGCUGGAUGUUUUGUUAAAAAAAUCAUUAAAACUGAUUAUUCUCCUAUCCAUAAUCUCACUUCCCUGGGUUACUUACUACAUCAGUGAUGUUGCUGGACCAACACCAUUCUAUUUGGAGAGAUGUGCAGAUGACUGAAGAUGGUGGUAUCAGGCACAAGAAAAAUGCAUAACCUGCCACUCCAAUGCUCUAUCCCUGCAUAGAAAGAGUGGUUAACUUUUCUCUAGUAUCCUUUACUGUCACCAUCCCACUGCUGGCUUUCAGAAGAGCAUGGUCAAAAGAAAAAUCUCAACAGUACUACAAUUUAACUCUUAAUAGCCUUUGUCCAUCCCAUAGGAAUGACUUUACACCCCAGACCUUAUCUCUACCACAGUCUCAACAGUUCUCUUCUACUCAAGGUGACCUAUAAAAACGGCUUUUAUUAAUACCCAGAAUAUAAUGCUGAGAAACACUGUUCUCUCACAUCAUAGACUAUUAUCUAUUUUCUCACACAUCUCUAAUCAUCAUCUUAAAGGAUCUGAGCCAUGUGGUCACUUUGAUACAACAGAGCAGCAACCUGAUUCCCAAACCAGAUGCAAAGCUUCAUACAGUGGGUUUUCAUACGCUGCAUUCCUCAUUUAUCCUGGCAUUAUAUUUUCCAAAGAAAAACAGGAAUGGGAUUCUCCUUAGUUCCCUUGCGUGGGGGAACACAAGGUGAUCUUCCUAACAUUUCUAAAGAAAUGUGGCCAACAACACAACCCUCUCAGCUUUAGAGGGACUGUAAGAAAGCAGCAAGGGGCUUCCCUGGUGGCGCAGUGGUUGAGAAUCUGCCUGCCAAUGCAGGGGACACGGGUUCGAACCCUGGUCUGGGAAGAUGCCACAUGCCACGGAGCAACUAGGCCCGUGAGCCACAACUACUGAGCCUGCACGUCUGGAGCCUGUGCUCCGCAACAAGAGAGGCCGCGACAGUGAGAGGCCCGCGCACCGCGAUGAAGAGUGGCCCCCGCUCGCCGCAACUAGAGAAAGCCCUCACACAGAAACGAAGACCCAACACAGCCAAAAGUACAUUAAAAAAAUAAAAUAAUUAAAAAAAAAAAAGGCA